AGGGCCUAGCCCACAGAGGCUGCUCGUUGUGUUAGCUGAAGGAGUACUACUAUCAAAUCAAUAACAGAUAACUCACGUAGAACCUUUACUCUGUGCCAGAUAUGGUGUUACACACUUCUCAUGCAUUGAUUUCAUGCAACGGCCUCAGCAAACUGAUGUUCCAAGAGGGAAUCCUGUGACAGUGUGAGAACCACAGAGCAGAGAAUCAGAGCCAGCUAAGGAUGGAGAAAGAGAAACAGAGCCCUGAAGACUUCAUCUGAGCCUCCCCUCUAGUGAUGCCUGUUAGUUCCAUGAACCCACGGAUUCUUUUUUCCCCUAAUCUAGUUUGAGUCAGAUUUUGAUCACCUACAAUGAGAGGGUUCUGACAGAGACUUAAGGGUUUGUUUUCCUCAUAAUAUUCAAUACCACCUUACAAAAUUAUUAAGG
ensembl:lncRNA